GGGGUAUCAAGACAAGUGCGAACGUCAUACAUCUUGUGGAGGAUUCAAUCGUCAUAUUUCCGGAUACUGAAAUGGAAUAUAAGACGAGGCUCUUUGAUGUAUGGCGCGCUCUUUGCGGCAAAGCAAGUUGGUCGGUUCUAGUUAGGUCACAUUUCAAGGUUCAACAUAUCCAGUUACUAGGAAGGAAGAAGACAACGGGAAAAGGAUUCUGUUUUGACGUUCCUGCUAUUUAUCUGCUCAUAGAGAAAAUAGAGGUCACAUUUCAAGGUUCAGCAUCACCGAGUUACUAGGAAGGAAGAAGACAACAAGAAAAGGAUUCUGUUUUGACAUUCCUGCUAUUUAUCUGCUCAUAGAGAAAAUAGAGGUGCACUUUGACAAGGAUCAAUUUGAACCUCGACCAAAGGACUGAAAGUUUAGGCUGACUGCUGUCCCAACCAUCUUCCCUCACUGCAAAGUAUCCAAACUAAACUGAUAAAGAAGUCGCCCCGAUGCAGAUUGCACAUGCCCAUCAUGACAUGCAUAACGGAAGAAGGUAGCAAAGCAACAUCAGCCUAUAGCAUUCCUACUAUGUAGAGCACUACAAUGCUCUUCCACUGGAAGUUGUAAAUUAAAGGCACUAUGGACAUUAUUGGUAACUACUCAAAUAGUUGCUAUCAUAAAAACUUACUAACUUGGUAACGAGCAAUGCAGAGCCGUUGAUAACGUAAAACAUUGUGAGAAUCAGCUCCCUGUAAUGUAACAUUUCUCGCUUUAAUUAUAAAAGACUUCAGGUCUGAUGAAGCUUUUUAUUUGGC